UCAGUUUAUUUUUUUAGGGAUUGCCAGAAAGCAUCCUAGGGACUGGGGUUUUGGUCUUUAAGAUCUUUUAUCCCCCUAAGCACAUUGCAUCAUGGUUGGAGUCUUCAGUGUUUCAUCAUCUGGAUCAGGGGGAACAUGAUGUGUGAACCAGUUGAAUUGCAAAUGGUCUUUGCACCUUAUUUUCUCAUGAGAUGGCUGGGAUAUUGGACGAUGCAGAUUCCAUUGGCUCUUUCUGGAAAAACAAGUUGUUAAGGGGCAUGUGCACAUGAGAAAGCUCUUUGACCUGCGUUCACAUUGCCUUUCAAUCCACCUUAAAUGCAUGGGAAAUGGAUAGUUCUAUUUUCUAAAUGAGGGAUGUGGUAGGAGCAUUGGACUGUAUACCUAUCCUAAUUUCCAAUUUCCUUUCCUACCUUUUCAUCUGACCUAGAGAAAGAGUCAAGGCAAAGAUUUAUAACAAUCUGUCCUCCUGUAGAGUAUAAUCUAAAACCAAAAAUCAGAUGCGGUGCAUACACAUUUUGUCCUCUUCAUGUUUUAAAAAUACCUAUACCAUUUUUUUCAGAUCCAUGGACGAUGAAUGAGCGAAGAUGGCACUGGUGCAUGUGUGCAUCUUACCGGUGUUCUAAUUAGAGCAGAUUAAGCAGUCAUAUAUCUGUAUGUAUAUAGCUAAUGUUAUGCUGUAGGUAUAAAAAAAAGAGAGGCAGUUACAAUAAAGUUACAAUCAGAUAUAUUCCUUGUUAACAGGAUCCUUGUUGGACUGGGGGGGGUCAGGGCCCACUGGAGCUGCCAGGGCCCCCGCACCCUCCCAAGGGCCUCCUCUCUAGUCAUAGCAAAUCUCCCUCCCCAGUCAUAGCAACUCCCCCCCUGCCCUCUCCCACUCUCCUGUGAGUGAGCAGGUGAUUCAAGUGGGUGGAGUGGGCAGGGCAAUCAGGGGAGUGGGCAGGUCAAGCGUGAGGAGGGGGUGGAGGUCAGACUGUGUGGAGUGGGUUUGGGCCGUCAGGGCCCACCGGGUUUUUUCCUGGCGUCCCGCCGGCCCAGUCAUAGAGAUUAAACACAAUCCACCAUAUGUAAUAAAAAAUACUAAAUUUGCCCAGGAGCAGUAAACAAUAACAACCAAUAAGAUGUUUGCUUUUAAACAAGUGACCAGUAAAUUCUACCUGCUGAUUGGUUGCUGUGGGUUAUUGCUCCAGGGCAAACUUAGUGCCUUUAAUUACAUAAAUCCCAAACUGGGCAUAUUUCUAAAAAAUAUAAAUAGAGUUCAAUACAGUUUACUAGUGGAGAACUUCCCAGCUUUCUGUUCACAUGUAUAUGAUUGUUAGGGACAUAUUUAUCAAAGGGUAAUUAUUGAGGGAGGUUUUUGUUUAUUUCUACAAUCUGAUAAAGAUGCCCCUAUACUGCAUACAGAACACUGAUUUUGUCAAUCCUGUCAUUUAUAUUCACCCUUAUCCACUAACCAUCAUUCCUUUGUGGUAACCCAAAAUAAUAAUUGUGGUCAGUUACAAAAGAAUUGAACACUCAAAGUGUACAACACGGUUGCCCCAUAACUGUCGCCAGAUAUGGUGAAACUAUCCCAGACAGCCCAUAGGGUUAUCGUGUUGGUCCAGCGCUACAUUUGCAGCAACAGGAGGCAAUCAAGUCUGCAGAAAAGAGGGGCAGUUCAGUAUAAGAUCAUAUCCAGAACAUUAGAUUAUAUAAG